rnacentral:rRNA from 1 species
CUACGGGUUGCAGCAGUGAGGAAUAUUGGUCAAUGGGCGCGAGCCUGAACCAGCCAUCCCGCGUGCAGGAUGACGGCCCUAUGGGUUGUAAACUGCUUUUCUACGCCAAGAAACCUGAUUACGUGUAAUCAGUUGCCGGUAGCAUAGGAAUAAGCAUCGGCUAACUCCGUGCCAGCAGCCGCGGUAAUACGGAGGAUGCAAGCGUUAUCCGGAUUCAUUGGGUUUAAAGGGUGCGCAGGUGGGCUUGUAAGUCAGUGGUGAAAUGCUGCCGCUUAACGGUAGAACUGCCAUUGAUACUGCGAGUCUUGAGUAUGGUUGAGGUAGGCGGAAUGUGUUGUGUAGCGGUGAAAUGCAUAGAUAUGACACAGAACGCCAAUUGCGAAGGCAGCUUACUAAGCCAUUACUGACGCUGAGGCACGAAAGCGUGGGGAGCGAACAGGAUUAGAUACCCGUGUAGUC